rnacentral:rRNA from 1 species
UACGUAGGGUGCGAGCGUUAAUCGGAAUUACUGGGCGUAAAGCGUGCGCAGGCGGUUUUGUAAGCCAGAUGUGAAAGCCCCGGGCUCAACCUGGGAAUGGCAUUUGGGACUGCAAGGCUUGAGUGCGGCAGAGGAGACUGGAAUUCCUGGUGUAGCAGUGAAAUGCGUAGAUAUCGGGAGGAACACCAGUGGCGAAGGCGGCUUUCUGGUCUGCUCUUGACGCUGAGGCGCGAAAGCUAGGGUAGCAAACGGG